rnacentral:lncRNA from 1 species
AUACUCAUAGAUGAGGUACAGAAGUGUCCAGCAACACAGCCUGGGCCUAUUUCAUCAUCUCACCAAACAAGAAGACAGCCUGCUUCUCGCUUGACAGAUCAAGGAAGGAGGAGGUGGAGGAGAUGACAGAACAACAAGAUCUGCAGAAAGAACAUCCAUGAUCUGGUGGCAGGUGCCCAAGCCAUGUGCCCUCCCAAUACCCACAACUGGAGUCUCUUUGCUAGAGAGACCUACGACGAACACAACAAAAUCAUCGGAAUCCAGGACUCCCCACUUGAAGGAUGCUGAACUAGGAUGGAAAUUACCUCUACACCCCGAUUGCAUCUCCACUAUCCCUGGCCCAUUCCUCUGCUUUCCUUAUUGCAACACAGGUGAUGGCCUCCAGGGGUCCUCCAUAGAUGGGGGGUUGCAAACACUGGGAAUGUAGAAUUGAAUCCACCAGACAUGGUGGCAGCAUGCCCGACCAUCUGAAAACUCAUUUUCACCUUCCCAUCAGCGAUCCCUGGGAAGACCAAUGGUGAGCAGGAGUUGUGGGUAAGCUCUACCCUAAUGAUUAUGCUAAACACCCUGUAGUCGACCUACAUGUCUCUCUCCAGCUUG